UUUUAAAACAAUUAAUUUUUUUUUUUUUUUUUUUUUUUUUUUUUUUUUUUUUUUUUUUUUUUUUUUUUUUUUUUUUUUCGCGGUUUUUUUUUUUUUCUUUUGUUUUUUUUUUCAUUUUUAUUGGAUAUAUCUGUAUGCUUUAAAACGAAUUUUAAUACAAAAAAAUUAAAUGUUUGAAAUAACUGUAGACUUUCGUUAUUAUUAUGAAAUUCAUAUACUCUAACAAAAA
rnacentral:misc_RNA from 1 species